rnacentral:rRNA from 1 species
GACGUAGGAUGCGAGCGUUGUCCGGAUUUAUUGGGCGUAAAGAGUUCGUAGGUGGUUCGUUAAGUCUGGUGUAAAAGACUGGGGCUCAACCCUGGGAUCGCACUGGAUACUGGCGGACUGGAGUGUGGUAGAGGCAAGCGGAAUUCCCAGUGUAGCGGUGAAAUGCGUUGAGAUCGGAAGGAACGCCCGUGGCGAAAGCGAGGUCCUGGGCCCUUACUGACGCUGAGACGCGAAAGCCAGGGGAGCGAACGGG